rnacentral:tRNA from 1 species
CUUAGCUCAGUUGGUAGAGCAACUGACUCUUAAUCAGUGGGUCGAGGGUUCGAGUCCCUCAG